UGGGGAAUUUUGGACAAUGGGCGAAAGCCUGAUCCAGCAAUGCCGCGUGUGUGAAGAAGGCCUUCGGGUUGUAAAGCACUGUCUUUGGGGACGAACGGUAUCUAUGUAAAUAAUGUAGAUACAUGACGGUACCCAAGGAGGAAGCCCCGGCUAACUACGUGCCAGCAGCCGCGGUAAUACGUAGGGGGCGAGCGUUGUCCGGAAUCAUUGGGCGUAAAGGGCGCGUAGGCGGGUCAUUAAGUCUGGUGUGAAAGGCAGGGGCUCAACCCCUGGAAGGCACGGAAACUGGUUAUCUUGAGGACAGGAGAGGAAAGCGGAAUUCCACGUGUAGCGGUGAAAUGCGUAGAUAUGUGGAGGAACACCAGUGGCGAAGGCGGCUUUCUGGACUGUAACUGACGCUGAGGCGCGAAAGCGUGGGGAGCAAACAGGAUUAGAUACCCUGGUAGUCCACGCCGUAAACGAUGAGUGCUAGGUGUAGAGGGUAUCGACCCCUUCUGUGCCGCAGUUAACACAAUAAGCACUCCGCCUGGGGAGUACGGCCGCAAGGUUGAAACUCAAAUGAAUUGACGGGGGUCAUAGCUGUUUUCCU
rnacentral:rRNA from 1 species